rnacentral:rRNA from 1 species
GACGAACGCUGGCGGCGUGCUUAACACAUGCAAGUCGAACGGAAAGGCCCUGCUUUUGUGGGGUGCUCGAGUGGCGAACGGGUGAGUAACACGUGAGUAACCUGCCCUUGACUUUGGGAUAACUUCAGGAAACUGGGGCUAAUACCGGAUAGGAGCUCCUGCUGCAUGGUGGGGGUUGGAAAGUUUCGGCGGUUGGGGAUGGACUCGCGGCUUAUCAGCUUGUUGGUGGGGUAGUGGCUUACCAAGGCUUUGACGGGUAGCCGGCCUGAGAGGGUGACCGGCCACAUUGGGCCUGGGAUACGGCCCGGACUCAUACGGGAGGCAGCAGUGGGGAAUAUUGCGCAAUGGGCGGAGGCCGGAUGCAGCAACGCCGCGUGCGGGAUGACGGCCUUCGGGUUGUAAACCGCUUUCGCCUGUGACGAAGCGUGAGUGACGGUAAUGGGUAAAGAAGCACCGGCUACCUACGU